rnacentral:sRNA from 1 species
GUGGAUUUACAUAUCCAGAUAUAAAUGACAUGUAUCAUUGCAGCUUGCACCACUGGGGUACUGUAAAUUCCUUAUAUUACGCGAGUACUUAAUUCUGCUAUUUUGUAUCAAAUCGCGAGAAUAUAUAAUAGCGAACGCAGAACAUUUAUCAAUAUUACUUAUAGUUCUCAACUCUCAGAAAAUUUAAGCGAAGUUUUUAAAUCUGCGAGGCAUGCUUCUCGGGAUUUUAUGCGGAUAUAAAUUCCUCACGUUUAAUUAGGAAUUUACAGUAUCUUAACUGCUCUCUAUGACGUAUAUAAAUAAUACACUGCAUCAUUUAUGUAAAUGUCAUAGACAGCAGAGAGGACAAGAUGCCCCUGUGCUUGCACAUACUAUAAACAUAGUGAUUUUCUGGGGGUAAAGUUUUCUGAUUUCUAUAUUUCAUAAACCAGCCUUAUGAUUGGAGGCAAUUUUUACUCAAAUAAAGACAUUAAAAAUGUAAAUCAUAAUGCAUUAGAAUGCAUCUUUUUCAAAUCUGUACAAAAUUAAAGUGAAGCCAACUUUUGUUGUAAUAGAAUUUGCAUAUAUUUUCCCAAUGCAGACAUAUCAAUGUUUGUGAUAAUCCUUCAGAAAAAAAAUUGAGACAAGAAAUUCUGCUAUAAAAAUCUUCAAAGAAUUUUGGUUAAAUAUUAAAUUUAACUUCAGUGCAGUUUCAUACUUAUAUGAUAAAUUGUCUGGGAAAUAUAACUUCGGAAAUACAUGGUUAUGAAUAUUAUACAUGUACAUCAGCUGUUGGGUUUUGAGACCAGGAUGUUUUUACAAAUUUGAUAAUUAAUUAAAAUUAACUAAAUCCACUUGAAAUGAAAUCAAUAAUUGGAUAAUUUUGAAAAAGUUUAUUGAUAUUCAAAGUUGAAAGAAUAAAUAGCUGUUAUUGAAUGUGACCUCCAUAGGAUAUGUAGAAAGGCAAUUUCAAUUUCAGAUACAUUUUGUAUUUUACUUGAUUAUUAGUUAUGUUAUGCAAAGAAUAAAAUAUGUAUUACAAAUUACACUUCAGAUACAUCAAACGCAAUUUUAUAUAAUUAUGUAUUUAUAUAUGGUCCAUCUAUUGCACUGUAAAAUGAGCCAGUUAUUAAAUGUUAAAAUUUUUACGCAUAUUAGUGUGGCUUUAUACCCCCUUAAUUGCCGAGAUUUUUUUGCCUGAUUAUAUGUACAGAGUCAGGUUGCUUGAUACUAAAAAGUAUGAUAAAUGCUUGACAAUAUUUUUCAUUAAAAUGGUCGCAAAGUCAUUCACAACUAAAUAAAUAUUCAGGAUUUGAUUAUUCAAAGGCAAUGUAAUUAUAUUUUGGUGAGUAGGUGGUAAAAAACAAAAUGUAUACCCACACAUAUAAAAAUGUUUAAAUUUAUUAAGUUUUUUGUACAUUUUUAUGUCAUGAACAAUAAAGGUAAUAAAUUGUUUUCAAUAC